UUUCGCAAUGCCCGAAAGGGUGACGAAGCGACGCCGCGUGUGGGAAGAAGGCCUUCGGGUUGUAAACCACUGUCGGGAGUUAAGAAGUGCAAGGAUAUAAAUAGUGUCUUUGCUUGACUAAGGCGUCGGAGGAAGCCACGGCUAACUCUGUGCCAGCAGCCGCGGUAAUACAGAGGCGGCAAGCGUUGUUCGGAAUUAUUGGGCGUAAAGAGCACGUAGGCGGCUAUGUAAGUCGGUUGUGAAAGCCUUCCGCUCAACGGGAGAACAGCAUCCGAUACUACAUGGCUUGAGUGCGGGAGGGGAGAGUGGAACUUCUGGUGGAGCGGUGAAAUGCGUAGAUAUCAGAAGGAACGCCGGCGGCGAAAGCGGCUCUCUGGCCCAUAACUGACGCUGAGUGUGCGAAAGCUAGGGGAGGUGACGGGAUUAGAUACCCCGGUAGUCCUAGCCGUAAACGAUGGGCACUAAGUAGAGGGGUUUU
rnacentral:rRNA from 1 species